UAGGGAAUCUUCCACAAUGGACGCAAGUCUGAUGGAGCAACGCCGCGUGAGUGAAGAAGGCUUUCGGGUCGUAAAACUCUGUUAUUGAAGAAGAACGUGUGUGACAGUAACUGGUCAUGCAGUGACGGUAUUCAAUCAGAAAGUCACGGCUAACUACGUGCCAGCAGCCGCGGUAAUACGUAGGUGGCAAGCGUUGUCCGGAUUUAUUGGGCGUAAAGCGAGUGCAGGCGGUCUUUUAAGUCUGAUGUGAAAGCCUUCGGCUUAACCGAAGAAGAGCAUCGGAAACUGGGAGACUUGAGUGCAGAAGAGGAGAGUGGAACUCCAUGUGUAGCGGUGAAAUGCGUAGAUAUAUGGAAGAACACCAGUGGCGAAGGCGGCUCUCUGGUCUGUAACUGACGCUGAGGCUCGAAAGCGUGGGUAGCAAACAGGAUUAGAUACCCUG
rnacentral:rRNA from 1 species